UUGGUUAAGUUAGAAAGGGCGCACGGUGGAUGCCUUGGCACUAGGAGCCGAAGAAGGACGGGACUAACACCGAUAUGCUUUGGGGAGCUGUACGUAAGCGUUGAUCCAGAGAUUUCCGAAUGGGGGAACCCACUAUCUUUAGUCGGAUAGUAUCCUUACGUGAAUACAUAGCGUGAGGAAGGCAGACCCAGGGAACUGAAACAUCUAAGUACCUGGAGGAAGAGAAAGAAAAAUCGAUUUCCUGAGUAGCGGCGAGCGAAACGGAAAGAGCCCAAACCAAGAAGCUUGCUUCUUGGGGUUGUAGGACACUCUAUACGGAGUUACAAAAGAAAGUUAUAAAUGAAGCGGUCUGGAAAGGCCCGCCAAAGACGGUAACAGCCCGGUAGUUGAAAUGGCUUUCCCUCCAGAGUGGAUCCUGAGUACGGCGGAACACGUGAAAUUCCGUCGGAAUCCGGGAGGACCAUCUCCCAAGGCUAAAUACUCCCUAGUGACCGAUAGUGAACCAGUACCGUGAGGGAAAGGUGAAAAGCACCCCGGAAGGGGAGUGAAACAGUUCCUGAAACCGUGUGCCUACAAGUAGUUAGAGCCCGUUAAUGGGUGAUAGCGUGCCUUUUGUAGAAUGAACCGGCGAGUUACGAUUUGUUGCAAGGUUAAGCGGAAAAAGCGGAGCCGUAGCGAAAGCGAGUCUGAAUAGGGCGCAUAAGUAACAGGUCGUAGACCCGAAACCAGGUGAUCUACCCAUGUCCAGGAUGAAGGUAAGGUAAUACUUACUGGAGGUCCGAACCCACGCACGUUGAAAAGUGCGGGGAUGAGGUGUGGGUAGCGGAGAAAUUCCAAUCGAACUUGGAGAUAGCUGGUUCUCUCCGAAAUAGCUUUAGGGCUAGCCUCGAGGUAAAGAGUCAUGGAGGUAGAGCACUGUUUGGACUAGGGGCCCUUCUCGGGUUACCGAAUUCAGAUAAACUCCGAAUGCCAUGUACUUAUACUCGGGAGUCAG
rnacentral:rRNA from 1 species